ensembl:lncRNA
UUCUGCUAAGCCUGCUGUUUCUGUAUUCUCAGGGCCCUUGUUAGGACUAAAAGAGGAGUGGCAUAACAGAUGGAAGGAUCUGGCCUUCUGCUGGGUGAUAGCCACCUGCAUGUCAUGUUCCUGCUUUCUCUUUUCCACAGGUGGCAUUGUGCUUCCCAAGGAGCAUAUGGACCUUUUAGAUGGGAGUGCACAGCAAGGAUCCAACAGGGUCUCAGCUUCCUUCCUGCUCUGCACCUGAGUGAGGGACACCGUGACCUGCUCAGGAGGCAAGAUGUCAUGUCAGGGAGGUCAGCUCGUGCUAGAAGUCGAUGGCAUCGCUGUAUGAAUCAAGGUCAGUUUAGGAGCAGCUGCUGGUGGAAGGAAUCAAGUCCAGGCUAAUAAACGGAAGCAUCUCCUGGUAAGGUGUCAGAGGUGGCAGUAAUGAUGUCUGUCAUCAUAAAAACCAGAGGGCAGGCUUAUCCAAGUUCUUGCUGGCUGAUGUUUGGGAGUAUCUUGUUUUCCAGCUGAAUGAUAAGAAAGCUAAACAAGCUGAGCCAUUACAGCUUGAGCUGAAGUUGUGAAUGUGCUCCCGGAUGUUUCCUUUAGUGGUAAAUCAUGUUCUGGCACUGUGAUAGUCCUAUCUCUGUUAUGAUUUGGAGCACAGUGUCUGGUUGCAAGCCUUGUGUGCCUGUUCCAUGAACCUUGCUUUCUUUCUGUCUUCAGAGUAAGUGCAGGGUGCUUCCUUGCUUUUGGUGGAUUCAUCCAGGAGGCUUUCAGAAGGCCAAUUGCAGUAUUCAUUACAUGGAGACACACGAUGGGAAUGGACUGUCGUUGCCACCAGGCAAAAGUGAGUUUAUUAUGGAUGAUUUAAUUUUGAUUACUCUGAGCAGUUGCAGUGUGGUAGAGGAUGUCACGAAACCAUUUAUUUGGGAGCACAGGUAAGAGUCACGAGAAAUGCAAAGGUAGUUUCUGUUUUGGCUGUCAAAAUGGUGGAGUUUUUCUGGAAGGGCAAUGUCUGGGCUUCCUGUAAGCAGGCCCCCUCUGAGAGAUAGGGCUUUGCUUGCUGCUUUGCUGUGCCUACCUGUCUGCUCCCUGUGCUUGCUGCAUCUGAUACCAGUGGUCAUGGAACUGGCUCCCCAGGGCUGUGGGCCUGGCCAUGAGCUGCUGCAGCUUAAAGGCUGUUUGCGUUUGAGUGGCCCUUCCUGGAGCAUUGGGUUGGACUUGAUGAUCCUCGUGGUUCCCUUACCAGUUGGGAUAUUCUGUGGUUCUAUGAUCUUGGUGGUUUUCCUUGGAAUUACCUGAUUUUUUUCCCCCAAUUUUUUUAUGGCAUUUGAACUCACAGUUUCAAUUUUAAAUGUGGGUGAGGAGUUAGAUAAGGUAGGGUAAGGUGUUUCUUUUUUUUUCUAUUCUCCUAGGUGACUGUGUGUUUUCUGCCAGUGCUGUGGUAGCUCUGUAACUGGGGUUGUUCCUAAUGCUCAUGAAAUAGCUCUAGUGGCAGCACAGAAUUUGACCAUUGGGCUGCCUGCUGGAUUAAUUUCUGUAGACUGAUCAAACCAUCUCAAAAAGCAUACAAUCAGUUUAUUUUUUGAAAGGUUGUCAGCUUUUGAGGUUGCUGAGAAGUCUUGUUUUAUCAGUCACUAGCAGCUUGCUGGAGCUUGAAGUAGAUGAAUCGUCCCUUACAGAGCUGUUUAAAUAAAACCUUCUAAUUACUUUGGCA